rnacentral:rRNA from 1 species
GAUGAACGCUGGCGGCGUGCCUAAUACAUGCAAGUCGAGCGAACAGACGAGGAGCUUGCUCCUCUGACGUUAGCGGCGGACGGGUGAGUAACACGUGGAUAACCUACCUAUAAGACUGGGAUAACUUCGGGAAACCGGAGCUAAUACCGGAUAAUAUAUUGAACCGCAUGGUUCAAUAGUGAAAGACGGUUUUGCUGUCACUUAUAGAUGGAUCCGCGCCGCAUUAGCUAGUUGGUAAGGUAACGGCUUACCAAGGCAACGAUGCGUAGCCGACCUGAGAGGGUGAUCGGCCACACUGGAACUGAGACACGGUCCAGACUCCUACGGGAGGCAGCAGUAGGGAAUCUUCGGCAAUGGGCGAAAGCUUGACGGAGCAACGCCGCGUGAGUGAUGAAGGUCUUCGGAUCGUAAAGCUCUGUUAUUAGGGAAGAACAAAUGUGUAAGUAACUAUGCACGUCUUGACGGUACCUAAUCAGAAAGCAACGGCUAACUACGUG